rnacentral:lncRNA from 1 species
GCUACUUAACUGCAUUAUAUCUUAAUUACUACAUUAAAUAUGUUAACUAGUUACUACAUUAACUACAGGAAGACAUGGACAGCAUGUGGUGACAACAGCAUUCAGAGUCAGUACAUGGUGGUUGGGAAGCAUUGGGAGACAACUCUCACAGGCUGAGGGGAAACCUUCCACUGAGUCAGCAGAUCCUGGAUAGAGGCGGAGCACACAACGGACAAAGCAAGGCUAGGAGAGCAGGGUUUGCUCAGAGAAGGCUCAGGGUGUGCAAACUGCAAAAGGUCAUAAUCUGCAGGUGCAAAUACAUUCACCAUACUUCUCUGGAGUACAGCUUGAUUCUGAUAAAGGAAGGAGGAAGGCUGAAUUCCCCUUUGUUACAUGCAGAUUAG